UUAUGGUGUCAUGGUCAUUGAUGACCGUUCAUAGAAUCCUUGCAAUUGUUUUGCAGUUUAUGUGUGGAUUCUAUGAUGGUCAACAAAAACCUUGGACAUUAAAUA
rnacentral:pre_miRNA from 2 species